GUGGGGAAUUUUGGACAAUGGGCGCAAGCCUGAUCCAGCCAUGCCGCGUGAGUGAUGAAGGCCUUCGGGUUGUAAAGCUCUUUAGCCGAUGAUUAUAAUGACUGUAGUCGGAAAAUAAGCCCCGGCUAACUUCGUGCCAGCAGCCGCGGUAAUACGAAGGGGGCGAGCGUUAUUCGGAAUCACUGGGCGUAAAGCGUGCGUAGGCGGCUUUGCAAGUUGGGAGUGAAAGCCCAGGGCUCAACCCUGGAAUUGCUCUCAAAACUGCAAGGCUCGAAUUCGGGAGAGGAUAGCGGAAUUGUCAGUGUAGCAGUGAAAUGCGUAGAUAUUGACAGGAACACCAGUGGCGUAAGCGGCUAUCUGGACCGAUAUUGACGCUGAGGCACGAAAGCGUGGGGAUCAAACAGGAUUAGAAACCCGUGUAGUCC
rnacentral:rRNA from 1 species